rnacentral:lncRNA from 14 species
CAUCAAGUCCUCAAUUCCUUACAGUGCCACUCCCUAGGCCAACAUAUUCAAACCACCAUAGACUUUCAUUGUUAGACAAGUCCAAAUGAAUCAUUGGAUAUAUUUUGACUUCAAAGGACAUAAGAUAUGAGGUAGGUAAAAAUCAUAGUUCAGGUUAAAGUUGUUAAUACUUAAAAUUUUACAC